rnacentral:rRNA from 1 species
AAAGGCGAAAAGAACCCCGGCGAGGGGAGUGAAAAAGAACCUGAAACCGUGUACGUACAAGCAGUGGGAGCACGCUUAGGCGUGUGACUGCGUACCUUUUGUAUAAUGGGUCAGCGACUUAUAUUCUGUAGCAAGGUUAACCGAAUAGGGGAGCCGAAGGGAAACCGAGUCUUAACUGGGCGUUAAGUUGCAGGGUAUAGACCCGAAACCCGGUGAUCUAGCCAUGGGCAGGUUGAAGGUUGGGUAACACUAACUGGAGGACCGAACCGACUAAUGUUGAAAAAUUAGCGGAUGACUUGUGGCUGGGGGUGAAAGGCCAAUCAAACCGGGAGAUAGCUGGUUCUCCCCGAAAGCUAUUUAGGUAGCGCCUCGUGAAUUCAUCUCCGGGGGUAGAGCACUGUUUCGGCAAGGGGGUCAUCCCGACUUACCAACCCGAUGCAAACUGCGAAUACCGGAGAAUGUUAUCACGGGAGACACACGGCGGGUGCUAACGUCCGUCGUGAAGAGGGAAACAACCCAGACCGCCAGCUAAGGUCCCAAAGUCAUGGUUAAGUGGGAAACGAUGUGGGAAGGCCCAGACAGCCAGGAUGUUGGCUUAGAAGCAGCCAUCAUUUAAAGAAAGCGUAAUAGCUCACUGGUCGAGUCGGCCUGCGCGGAAGAUGUAACGGGGCUAAACCAUGCAC